CCUUUCCUGAAAUCGAGUCCUCUAUCCCUGACACUGAGCCCCCAUUCUGGACAUUGAUUCCGCAUCCCACACAAGGUACCCGUGUGCCUGUUCCUGAACCGUCAGCCCCAGCACUGGGGAUGUCUCUGAUAGACAACACAAUCUGACUGCCUGCAUCAUCAAUGGAAGCCCCUACCCAAGACGGUAAUCUGUGCUCUCAGCCCUCCCCUCCUUCAUCCUGGGCCUCCACCACUCUCACUGUUGCACCUGGAGCAACAGUCCAAUCCCAGCAGUCAGGAACUACACCUCGACUCAGGAUCAGAAAGAAAUAAAAGAAAAAUGAAAGGAAAAGCCAGGUUGAAUGCCGCCUCAAAGAGGAUCGACACAGAAGAGCAUCCUGGCCUACCCGAGGGGACAGAGCACGGACUUGUUCUCCAUAUUGUGGGUCAGGUCACCCCCUCUCCCUCCCCCCCCAGAUGGACACUGACUGGACUGAGGAAGACUUGGUGAUAUCCCUGAUGCACAGCUCCGGGGAAUGGGGUGGGGGUCAGAAAGGAUGAGGGAGUGCUGGGGGAGUCAAGAAGGAACAAGGGGAGGUGGGGUCCCUAGGGCCCUACCCCCAUGCCAGGGCCAGAGCGAUGUGUGCCUGGGGUGGGGGUGGUGAGGAAGAGACCCUCUCCCCCAGAGAAAGAGCAGCAAGGGCCAGAGACCCUGACACCUAGCCUGGCAAGGUGGAUAGGGUGUUUGUGGUGGGGAGAGGAGUGGUCCCGGCCUUCGAGGCCCCGGGGGAGAAUAAAUAAGACACAAAUAAAUAAAUUAAUAAAUAAAUUACAUAGCAGCCUAAUUCCCUGGGGGAGGGGAGUGUUGCUCACUUAGAGUAAUACUGGCCCUGGAAUUCACAGUCCCUUUGAGGCUCUGAGUCCAACUUUGAGAGUUCACUAGCCCCCUUCAAGUAACUGCCUCUUUAGGUCUCAUUGGAAUUGGAGUCAUUCUCAGGCCCAGAUCUAGAGUCCCCAGGGCCUGACAGAUGAAAGAGAUGUGUGUAUAUGCAGGAAAGGGUCGUCUACCCCAGAGGAGGACCAUGCUGAAGGCUUAGUAGAUAGAGCCAACCCAGACAAAAUUCAUAAUGGCAGGGGAUAUCAGCCCUGGGGAGGGAGAAAGGACAUUUUGGGUGAGGUUCCCUUCCGGAGUCCAAUUGUCAGACUGAUGUGGUCACUUGCACCUCCCCCACCAAAUGUCCAUCUCUAUUCCUUGAAGUGGGAAGGUCAACUAUUCCAUCCCUCUGGGUACGUGCCCUUACGGCUACCUUAGGCCAAGAGCUGUGUCUCCUUUUCUGCCUUGGAAUCACUAGAGGUCGCCUUUGGGUCACUCCAUGAAUGGCUCCGUGGCUCAAUGGUCAGGGAGUCUUUCCUUUCAUUUGAUCUAGGUCCUACUCACUGCAUUGUUGGACCAUCUCUCCCAGUUGUUUCUAACCGGAAUUGAAGCCAGAUGCUCUCUUUUUCAAGAGCAUUUCUGGACAUCGAGCAUUGAGUUCCCCCAAGAGAAGGCCAAAGGAAAGUCCAGAUGGCUAAGGGAAAGAAAAGGUCUGAGAGAGGGAGGCAGAUGUGAGGGGAGUUACCAGGCCUCGUGUCUUCUGCCAACCAAACAGGGAGGGGAAGGGGGCUGGGGAUACAUUCUGGGAGGGAGGGGUUUCAUCUCCUUGUGCCAGCUCCCCAGGAAGUCCCCUUCCCUGUGGGGUGGGUGGCUCAGGGCAGAGUAGGGCUUCGGGGCAGGGAUUGAGCUCGUCCUGUGUUCAGUGGCUCUUGGUGCUCUGGGGCAGUGCCCAACCCCAAGGAAUGGAGAGGGCACCUUCUGGAAGCGAUAGGAUCCCGAUCUUUGUCAUCAGGCCUUGUGCCUGAAUUGGGGAGAGGUCUCUGGGGUUCUGGGGUGCACCAACCCCAUCCCCAUCA